rnacentral:rRNA from 1 species
UACGGGGGGGGCAAGCGUUGUUCGGAAUUACUGGGCGUAAAGGGCUCGUAGGCGGCCAACUAAGUCAGACGUGAAAUCCCUCGGCUUAACCGGGGAACUGCGUCUGAUACUGGAUGGCUUGAGUUUGGGAGAGGGAUGCGGAAUUCCAGGUGUAGCGGUGAAAUGCGUAGAUAUCUGGAGGAACACCGGGGGCGAAGGCGGCAGCCUGGACCAACACUGACGCUGAGUGAGCGAAAGCCAGGGGAGCAAACGGG